rnacentral:rRNA from 1 species
GACGAACGCUGGCGGCGUGCCUAAUACAUGCAAGUAGAACGCUGAAGGAGGAGCUUGCUCUUCUGGAUGAGUUGCGAACGGGUGAGUAACGCGUAGGUAACCUGCCUGGUAGCGGGGGAUAACUAUUGGAAACGAUAGCUAAUACCGCAUAACAGUAGAUGUUGCAUGACAUUUGCUUAAAAGGUGCAAUUGCACCACUACCAGAUGGACCUGCGUUGUAUUAGCUAGUUGGUGGGGUAACGGCUCACCAAGGCGACGAUACAUAGCCGACCUGAGAGGGUGAUCGGCCACACUGGGACUGAGACACGGCCCAGACUCCUACGGGAGGCAGCAGCAGGGAAUCUUCGGCAAUGGACGGAAGUCUGACCGAGCAACGCCGCGUGAGUGAAGAAGGUUUUCGGAUCGUAAAGCUCUGUUGUAAGAGAAGAACGAGUGUGAGAGUGGAAAGUUCACACUGUGACGGUAUCUUACCAGAAAGGGACGGCUAACUACGUG